GAUCCUGGCUCAGGAUGAACGCUAGCGGCAGGCUUAACACAUGCAAGUCGAGGGGCGAGCGCGGGAUAGCAAUAUCCUGGCGGCGACCGGCGGAAGGGUGCGUAACGCGUGAGCGACAUGCCCCGUUGCCCGGGGACAACCGGUGGAAACGCCGACUAAUCCCCGAUGGGAUAUUGUGCCGCAUGGCACGAUAUUGAAAGUUACGGCGGCGACGGAUUGGCUCGGCGUCCGAUUAGCUUGUUGG
rnacentral:rRNA from 1 species